rnacentral:rRNA from 1 species
UACGGAGGGUGCGAGCGUUGUCCGGAAUCAUUGGGCGUAAAGGGCGCGUAGGUGGCGGGCCAAGCGUGCGGUGAAAGCCUGGGGCUCAACCCCGGGUCGGCCGUGCGAACUGGUUUGCUUGAGCACUGUAGAGGCAGGCGGAAUUCCGGGUGUAGCAGUGAAAUGCGUAGAUAUCAAGUGGAACACCAGUGGCGAAGGCGAGUCCCUGGACAACUCCUGACACUGAGGCACGAAAGCUAGGGGAGCAAACAGG